rfam:Lingula anatina scaffold136, whole genome shotgun sequence.
GGAUCCUUGGCUCAGCGGUUAGAGCGUUCCGUUGAUAACGGAGAGGUCACAAGUUCGAAUCUUGUAGGAUCCA